rnacentral:lncRNA from 1 species
UUUGAAACAAUGUGGUAGAAAGCAACGUACAACUUGAAGGACACGAUCCGUUGUGGAUUUGUACAUCCACCAUUUUUUGUAGGAAUGAAGGUGCUCUUAACUCGACAUCAUUGGUUAUGUUUCACUAGAACCCCUCGUUUUUUUGUUGUCUUGGAAUGUAAAUAGUCCAUGAUGGAGCUCGAGUAGAAAGUAUUAAUUUCUUUCUUGGGGCAAGGGUCUAGGGUUAAUGCCAAUCAAUAAAAGAAUUGAAACAACUUCGUAAAUAAAUCUAAUAUAUCUUAGGAUUGGAAAUCGAAAGAAUCCAAUUCGAGCAAGUUUCAAAUUAAAAAAUUUAUUGGAAUUGAUCAAACUUUUU